rnacentral:rRNA from 1 species
UACAGAGGUCUCAAGCGUUGUUCGGAUUCAUUGGGCGUAAAGGGUGCGUAGGUGGCGGGGUAAGUCAGGUGUGAAAUCUCAGGGCUCAACCCUGAAACUGCAUUCGAUACUGCGUGGCUAGAGUGCUGGAGAGGAGACUGGAAUUUACGGUGUAGCAGUGAAAUGCGUAGAUAUCGUAAGGAAGACCAGUGGCGAAGGCGAGUCUCUGGACAGCAACUGACGCUGAGGCACGAAGGCCAGGGGAGCAAACGGG